rnacentral:rRNA from 1 species
GCUUGCUCUUGGGUGACGAGCGGCGGACGGGUGAGUAAUGUCUGGGAAACUGCCUGAUGGAGGGGGAUAACUACUGGAAACGGUAGCUAAUACCGCAUAACGUCGCAAGACCAAAGAGGGGGACCUUCGGGCCUCUUGCCAUCAGAUGUGCCCAGAUGGGAUUAGCUAGUAGGUGGGGUAACGGCUCACCUAGGCGACGAUCCCUAGCUGGUCUGAGAGGAUGACCAGCCACACUGGAACUGAGACACGGUCCAGACUCAUACGGGAGGCAGCAGUGGGGAAUAUUGCACAAUGGGCGCAAGCCUGAUGCAGCCAUGCCGCGUGUAUGAAGAAGGCCUUCGGGUUGUAAAGUACUUUCAGCGGGGAGGAAGGCGAUAAGGUUAAUAACCUUGUCGAUUGACGUUACCCGCAGAAGAAGCACCGGCUAACUCCGUGCCAGCAGCCGCGGUAAUACGGAGGGUGCAAGCGUUAAUCGGAAUUACUGGGCGUAAAGCGCACGCAGGCGGUCUGUCAAGUCGGAUGUGAAAUCCCCGGGCUCAACCUGGGAACUGCAUUCGAAACUGGCAGGCUAGAGUCUUGUAGAGGGGGGUAGAAUUCCAGGUGUAACGGUGAAAUGCGUAGAGAUCUGGAGGAAUACCCGUGGCGAAAGCGGCCCCCUGGACAAAAACUG